rnacentral:lncRNA from 1 species
UUCCAUAGAUGUCAGUUAUAGGUAUUUGUAUAUAUAUAUUUUUUCCUUUCUCGUCUUCUCCGUGUCUGUCGUUGUCAGAUGUUGGUAUCUGUGUCUUCAAUUUAUUCCAUGCUCGGACUUGGGUUUCAUCUACCUCUCCCUUGAGUUUUUUCUUCUUCUUCUUCUUCUUCAUUUCAUCAUCUUUUGUUCUCGGCCCUGGUUUUCUUCUUCUUUUAUUUCUGUGGUGGUAAACCGUUCUCCAGCUUCUUACAUCUUCUUCUUGUUCAUAUUCGGUAUACCAUUCAACAGUUUUUGAAUUUAUUUCGUAUUCCUCUGUCCUACCAGGUUUGUUCUUACGUUCAUGGUUUUUUCUUCCUCUUCAGUUUCUUCAUUUUUUUUUCAUUUCCCCUAUUGUUUUUGUCCUCAGAUUGUUUACCGUCUUCUGUGUAACGUUUUCUGUUUUCUAUGUUCUCUGUUAACCGUUUUCUGUGUACCUUUGUUCUCUAGUUACCACAAAUACUAGUUACUAGUACCUCUGUUCUCUAUUUUACCUCUGACAUACUUCUUCUUCCUAUUCUUUAUUUCAGAUUUAAAUCCAAGAUGAUUGUUUUUUUGAUAUUGUUCGAUCUGCGUUUGCUCCAAUAGCUAUUGGGUUCAAUCAUCUUUUUACUUCUUGUUCAAUCAUCUUCUUCGUUCUUCUUGUCUAUGGCUAUUGAUCAAGUAUCAUGGUGAUGUCUUAGUUAUGGUUUACUGAUUCUACUGUAACUAUUUGUUUACUCCAGUCUUUCCAUCUCCAUCUAAUUAAUUUUCGACCGAAGUCACUUCCUUUCAACGACUAGAAAGGAUUAGCCAUUUUAGCUCGCUUAUACCCUUGCUUUUACUGAUUAAAAAAAUACUUAUGCACUUACAUGUCACAACUACGAUUUUACAUUCAUAGGUGUAGGGAACACAAUUCGGGUUCAGUGAAAG